CCCGCUGUCAUUGGGGAGUAGCCGCCCUUCUUUACUGAAAGGGGUUUGCGUCAACAGACUUGUCUGGCCUUGCUAAAAAAGGCCGACAUGGCGCAAACAGCAGUUAGCCUGGCGAGACCUUUGACUGCACAGCCUCCAGAACUUGUAAAAAGCUUCGGGCCGGGGAUGUCGUGCAGUCAUUGGUUUUUUUGAUCCGGCCUGAGCUGUU
rnacentral:sRNA from 2 species